rnacentral:rRNA from 1 species
CAUUUGACGUUAGCUGCAGAAGAAGCACCGGCUAACUCCGUGCCAGCAGCCGCGGUAAUACGGGAGGGUGCGAGACGUUAAUCGGAAUUACGUGGGACGUAAAGCGCAUGCAGGUGGUUUAGUUAAGUCAGAUGUAGAAACGGCCCCGGGGCUACAACCGUACGGAAUUGCUAUUUAGAAACUGGACAAACUAGAGUACUGUAGAGGGGGUAGAAUUUCAGGUGUAGCGGUGAAAUGCGUAGAGAUCUGAAGGAAUACCGGUGGCGAAGGCGGCCCCCUGGACAGAUACUGACACUCAGAUGCGAAAGCGUGGGGAGCAAACAGGAUUAGAUACCCUGGUAG